UUUAUUACUGCAACUGGUUUCCCUGUCGUUAUUCUUCCCGCACCGGGCUGCCCUCCCCCUCUCCCCUCUGCCUCCCUCCUCGAGCUCCAUGUCGACGCCAUCCCGACGCUCCUCCACGCCUCAUUGGAUCCCAGGAAGCAAUCGUGCCGAUCGGAGCCGCCUGGCGCCGGGAAUUAGGGCCGGAGGCUGGCGCUAGCUCGAGCUCGCCGCUGCGGCAAGGUGCUGGAAAGGUGAGGUGUCCUCAGUACUUUUUGGGUGCAUUUGAAACCAGCUGCUCUAUUCUGAACUAGAGAUGCUCGACGUCAGAGAAUGAGUUCAACUGCAAGGAGAAUAGAUUAACAUCGCAUCAGUGGUCAGAGACAACAUCCAUGAACUCGAAAGGUCCAGAGAGGUCUUCAGGUGCAGCUUACUACUCUCCCUCUCACUAUUUACAUCGCACUACAUUAUAUACAGUCAUCCAACUGUUGCCAUGCGCCCAAACUUGCCUGCGCCACCAACAGAUGAUCCAAUCUCAUCCUUGCACCUCCCAGCCGCACUAACCUCCAUUCUUCCACCACCAUUGCUACCCCCACCCCCGCGGCCUUUUCCUCUGCGUGGGCUAGCGCACUUCCUGCAGAUGAAAUUUUCAGGGACGUCCUCAAAAUCACUGAUUCCUGAGCACCUGGUGUGCUGCCAGACUCCACACACGUCACAUGCUAGCAUCCGUUCCCCAUCAUCAUCCUUGGCACCACAUGAGCAGUCAACCGUCCAGUUCUCCAAACCCCUCUCCAUCCUGAAUUGUACAAUUCUCCUGUAAUCCCCAGUGCAACGCCCCCUUACCCAAACAAGCUGGCCUGAUCCAAGCACAUGCUUCACUGGGGUUGUGUCGCUGAAGUCUGGGAAGUCAGGGAGCUGUUCAGCCUGGAAACUUUGGAACAUGAGGUACGUUUCUUGGAAGGCCCUUGAAGCCUGUACUUUUAGUUCAGCAAGGGUAGCACUUGCUGGUAGAAGUACAAGUUCCUCUGGAGGUGUUGUGUAAUCUUUUGGGUGAUCAAGCAGUUCAGUGGAGCAUCUCACACAGAGCAGGAAUGGGUUCGAAGGAGUGUGCAGAGCAUGCUCAUCAUAAUGUUUGAUGAACUGCUUGCAGUCAAGAAUCUUUGCUGCUGCGCUGUGUGAUGAUGCACCCACCACCUCUGGUUGUGAAGACAGCAUGGACUCUGGGUUCAGCACAGCAUCAUAGAGGAAUCUAAGAUCAUGCAGGAGAUGUUCAACAGAAGGCCCAAACGUGGAUGCAUUAACUGGUGACUGAAUGGAGGAAGAUUCCAUCCUGCUUAUCAUGAAAUAAUGGUCAGGAAAGUUACCAAUUGAAGUUCAGCAAUUGUAGCAAGGGACUGCAGACAGGGCUCACCUGUAUUCAAUUGCAUUUGUCUCAACAUUGCAGCGGACAGCAAUGAAAUGAUCAUCAUCCAGUUGUUUUCCACCCAAUCCUCGGAGAGAAUAAUCAAGCAGCUCCUGUGAAUCAACAGCCUUUGAUGCAGCUCCCCUAAGUGCGCGCCAGGACACCCACUGUCCAGUUUGGACAGCCCGGAGAACCUUGAGCAUUGCUGCUUCUGCUCGAUCAAUAUCUUCUUUUGUCCACAUAGAGAGCACAUUAGAUGUAUGCUCUUUGUGCUUGUCCAUGGAGGGUUUUGACGUCUUCUGAGCUUGAUGAAGCAGGUGCAGAAUGAAGCGAAAAAGGUCCCGUAGUGUCACUAGUUGGCGAUCAGAGAGUGUCCAAUAAAGAGCAAUUGUGUUCUGCAAUGGGGUCCUAAUGGGGUUGCGAUGUGAGAAGUACAGCGCCAGAUGUAUACUGGAAAGCAUGUCUACUGCGUUUUGGUAUGUGUCUGAGGUGAGUGCAAAGCUGCCCGCGCCGAACUUGUAUCCCCAUUCGCCAUACCAUGGGUGCCCACUUGUGACUGCGUGCAGAAGCCUGUAGUCCAUUCCAUGUUUCUUGGAUAUGUCCAUAACGGUGACCUUCCUGCAGUGAUGGAAAUGAUGGUUAGGUUGAAGGAAGCAUUUUGGAUAGAGGUCAAUGGCAAUGAAACAUUGAUGUUCUGCUCACUGCACCGACCAAAAAUGUCAUUUACCUCACAUGUAGCACCUUGCACAGGCGAUCCCAGAAGCUCAUUAUGUCACGGCCAGUGAGGAAUCUUGAGCCACCUUCACGGCCAUUGACCCUGAGAAGGUGCCCGUAACCGUUCGCAUGCACCACAGCAUGCAGCAAGUGAGUGGAGUCGUCCAGAUGCAGCGACCAUGGGAGUCCCGCAUCGGAGGCAGCAGGUGCGCCGGCAGCCAGACAUCUGGUUACUGUCGUUCUCGAUGAUGAAAUGGUAUCGCUUCCCGCAGACCGGGUGCCCACUCCACCCUGCAACAAGACAGACACAUAUGAGACACGAAAGUCCAUUGCAUAUAACAGUAUAUGACAAGGCAGAUUGGAUCAAUCAUGGUCCUUUGGGGAUUGUACAUUGAAAGCAACAGCCUAACGAUCGGCAAACAAGAAAAGCUUCCAGAAAUCACAACGCAACAGGUCGAAGGUGGCAUUGCCCCUCUAUUUCCCCCCAAA